rnacentral:lncRNA from 1 species
GUCACCCAGGCCGGAGUGCAGUGGCAUGAUCACAGCUCACUGAAGCCUCGACUUCCCAGGCUUAAGUGAUCCUCCUACCUCACUCAGCCUCCCGAGUAGUUGGGACCACAGGCAUGUGCCACCACAUCUGGCUAUUUUUAGUAUUUUUUGUAGAGAUGGGGUUUCGCCAUGCUGCUCAGGCAGGUCUCAAACUCCUGGCCUCAAGCCAUCUGCUUGUGUUGGCCUCCCAAAGUGCUGGAUUACAGGCGUGCACCACCACCCCCGGCCUAAUUGAAUUUUUAUUUUGGAAGAACCAUAUACCUUUAUACAUAUUCUUUCUAUGACUUAUUUUCUGUAGUUGAAGUUCAAGGGUGUUUGACAGUGUGAUGUGGUUAUUGUUAACCUGUAUGUGGGGGCAUACAGAUAUGUUGUUUUACUUUUUCCCAUAAGGCUAAGAUCAUCUCCAGAAAUAUUAAUUUUUUAGACAGCGUGAUUAUAGUUAUUUAAUACUCAUAUUUAUCAAAAUAUUAUAUGUUAAAACCAAUAACCAUCUGAACUUAUUUGAAUAUAGUUUUUCCUAUUCUGUUCUUAGAAAUUUCAGUCAUUAACAAUCUUUACACUUAGAAAGUGUUUUAAUUUUACUUUGAUGACAGGAAUAGUGUUUUUCUCAAUGAAAUAUAUAAUAGCAGCUUAUAAGUGAUAACCGUUUUCAUUCUGUUUUUAAGAGAAAAUACUUUGGUCUUUUUUACCAUGAUAGUUUAGUGUGUGAUGUCAUAAAAAUGGGCUGUAGCCAUUUAAAUUCUUGUUCAAGUGCAGAAACUAAGAGACUUCAGUUUCUAUUAAGCCAUGUCAACUCCUAUUAGGAGACCUUUAGUGGUUCCAGUUCCAGGGCCUUCUUGAAGAAAUUGUGAUACUUGUGUAAGUAUAUCUAGAGUUUUCUUUCCAGCAUUGGCUAAGUCACAUAGCUGAGAAAUAUGAUACAUGGAGAAGGUUGCUGACUGGAUGAACUUUUCUACAUUGAAUACUUUAAAUCUGGAUUCUAGAAUAAAAUAUAUUGAUGCAUAUUUGAGUUGUCAACUGUUUAUGUCUUGUUCUUUUCAGCUUCAACAUUGCUUUAUGGCAUGUGUGGUCGUUUUUCACUCCAUUGUUGUUGUUUACCCAGUUUAUGGGGGUUGUAAUGUUUAUCACACUCCUUGGAUGAUUUCCGAAGAUCACCCCAUCCUGAGAUCUGCUGCCUUACACAGUGGAGGCUGUUUUCUGAGUGUCGGAUAACUCUGUUAUUAAAUAAGUGCAUAUUGAGAAUACUCACUCCAGAUGCUUAGAGGCAUGUUGAGAAGGACAAAGAUAGUGCCUCCUGUCAGGUCACUUACAUCAGAACUUGCAGGAAACCUGCUUUAUACAGCAGUUGACAGGUGUGGAAAUUGAAGCUCAUGGAAAUGAAAGUUAAUACACUAAAUUUUCAAGGAGUUAAUGAAAACUGACAUUUCUGCUAAAAACAGCAUGUUCUCCCUGUGGGAUUUUAAAGGAAGGUCAAUGGUAACUGUACAAAGAAGAAAUGGACAUAGUCUCAUUGUUAGCAGUCUGAAAAUAGUUGCUAGCACCUCCAUGCCCACGCCAAUGUCUCCAGCCUCCUUCAAGCACCUUGCUGUGUCUUGGAACCAUUGGGAGCCCUCACAGGAGGCCCUUCGUUCCUGUAUGCAUGUGGUGCCACAAGCUGCUUUGGGCCCGGAGGAAUCCUACACAUCUCAGAACACUUCCUCACCUGACCCUGUCACCCAUCUCUCCCCUUCUCAUGUGCUCAGCCCCUUCUUUGACUCUUGAAUUUUGAGUUUUUACAGAUGUUUGGGAGCUCUUACUCUGACAUGAAUUUAUAAUUGUAAUGGAGACUCAGACAACGUUGUAGAUCACAGAGUGAACUAUGCUUUUUAGUGUUAAAUGCAAUAGCUUAAGAUAGAAUGUUUUACUUGUUACAUAAAUGCUGGUUUUCUUUCAGAUUUAAGGACAUAUACUUUAUUUUUUUAAGAGAUAGGGUCUUCUAUGUUGUCCAGGCUGGCUUUGAACUCCUGGGAUCAAGUGAUCCUCCUGCCUCAGCCUUCGAAGUAGUUGGGACUACAGGCCCACGCCACCGUGCAUGGCUGGACACGUAAAUUUGAAUUGAAUGGUUAAACAUCCAGCUAGCUGAAAGCAUGGCAGACCCUAACAGAAAAGCUACAGUGUGUUUUUGCAACUAUGAAGUGAAUGGUUUCCUGGGGAAAAUUGUGACUUUGUAUAACUAUUUUUGAAACCAGAAUAAAUUAUAUUUCACUUGCAUAUUCUUAAAUUAUUAAAAUUUUCAGAAGUCAGUGAUACAGAAAUACUAUUUUGCAAUGUUAAUCUGUUUGAGUCUUUGGAGAAAGUGGUUUCAUUGUAGGUACAUGAUGCACUCUUAAUAUUUUAAACAAAUAGUUCACUCUUCCAUUUAAGGGAUAUCAGUUCCUUGUAUAAAAUGACUGGAUAUGUAUAAAGCAAUUAUGUUGUCAUGUGCCUUUAACCAGCUUUAGUAAUUACUAUAAUCUCAUAUUUAUGAUAGUUUUGUUAGGUGACAGGACCAAAUGAAAAUAUUUUAUGUUUUCCCAUCACUUUAGAUUUUAUCAUUGUGUAAAUUACUGGGUUUUUAGCAUUUCCUAAUGUGAAGUUUUAAUCAUUUUUAAGUAUACAUAUUUUUUUUCUGUACCAUUUAAAUAAAAUAUUUUUAUAACUUU